rnacentral:rRNA from 1 species
CACCGCGGUUAUACGAGGGACUCAAGAUGAUAAAAACCGGCGUAAAGAGUGGUUAGGUAAUUUUAAACUAAAGUUAAACACUUUCCAAGCUGUUAUACGCACCCGAAAUAAUGAAAAUCUAACACGAAAGUGACUUUAAUACUCUGACUCCACGAAAGCUGUGGAA